rnacentral:lncRNA from 1 species
GACAAGAUCUCCAUUACCUAAAUCAUGAGACUAUGCACGAAAUUUAUUCUAUUAUUUGUCACAUUGAUGAAUAAAUGCUAAAACAGUCGCCAUUUUCAGUCCAAGGUCGUUUGCCCAAAUUUUCUCAGACUAUGGCCGCUAAGAACAAUGAAAACUUUACAUCGCUUACAGACAGCAACAAUCAAAAUUUCCAACAAUCAUAUAAUCAAUCAUAAUGUUCAAGAUUUGGAAUUUAAUGCACAUCUUAGGGGGCAUUGACACCCAACAUGGAACAGCUAGACGACUCUGCAUUUACUCCUUUUGACAUAAAGUACAUACAAAGCAUUCUGGAACAAUUAAAUCCAAGAAAAUCUGUUGGGAUGGACAACAUAAUCUUCACAUCUGCUGAGGCUAUCUUCUCCAAGCGUCUCCACUGAAGAUACAAAGCUCAUCAACCAUUUUAUAAAUACUCAAAGUAUACACAAAGAAUGGAAAAGCAGUAAUAUUAUGCCAGUAUACAAGAAAGGAAGUAAAACAGACAAAGCCAAUUACAGACCGGUUUCUGUCCUAACCAUAUUAUCAAAAGUCUUUGAAAAAGUUAUCUAUGAUCAGAUCUAUCCAGUUAUGUCACCUCUACUGUCCCGCAACCUAUCGGGAUACAUGAAAGGUCAUUCGUGUGCAACAGCAAUUUUGAAGAUGACUGAGGAUUGGCGUGAAAGUUUGGACAAAGGAGAAACCAUCGCAACUGUAUCAGUAGAUCUCAGCAAAGUGUUUGACAGCGUAAACCACAAUUUGCUGCUGGCUAAAAUAUGAGCUUACGGUUUUUCUGAAGCAGCUACAAAAUUGCUGGGUGAAUACCUAAGAGAUCCUCACCAAAGAGUUAAGAUUGAUGGCAUAUGCUCUGGCUGGAGAAUAGUUAAAGCAGGUGUGCCACAGGGAUAUUUACUUGGUCCACUUUUGUUCAAUACAUUAUCUUCAUAGAUGAUAUUAAUUAUUGUACAUCUAAUAUGACGCUGAGAUUAUAUGCUGAUGAUACCACCAGCUGUUCGUCUGAUGCUUCUUUGACAGCAUUACAGUUUAUGGUUAACGAAGACUUGUUAACCCUUGCUACAUGGUUUAAACAAAAUUAUCUCUCUAUUAACAAUACAAAGACUCAGGCCAUGAUUCUUGGUUCUUCGACAUAUGAAUAUGAGAUCCAAAUUAAUGGAAUCAAAGUAGAUGUUAAACCCACUUUGAAAAUCUUGGGUGUCACCUUGGAUAAAAGACUUUCCUUUAAGGAGCAUAUCACUGAACAGCUUAAAAAAGUUUAUGCAAAGACUGCCGCCUUAACUGAAAAGAAUCUCCCAAUUAAUAUCGGUGAACACUAUGAUAUUAUUAAAUAAAGCAUUCAUUGUCCCACAUUUAGAAUAUUGUAGCAUGUUAUUUAUUGGUCUUGGCAAAGUGCAGGCCAAUAGACUUGAAGACACUAAUUAUUACAUUAUUUUUAAGAAUGUUAUUUAAACUUAAAAAUAUCAGUUGUGAAAGUCCUUUAGAAUUAGUUAAAUCAAGUGCUUAAAGACGGCGUAGGUAUUAUCAGACAUUGAUUUUGAUAAUUAUAUAAAUGCCUUAAUUCUAUUGGUCCUACGGUAUUUAUGUUACUGACUUUUUAAAUUCAAGACAUGUAGGCUAUAAUCUCAGGGGUCAAGGCAGUAAUCUGGCUCAACCUCAUUUUAAUUCUGAGUGGCUGCAUAAAUCUUUCUCUUUCAUUGCCAGUAAGCUAUGGAAUAAGUUACCUAUGGAAGUUAGGAAAAGUGAAAACAUCAAGGCUUUUAAAACAGCUUUGAAGAAGUUUGACUUGGAAUUUGCUUUGGGGAUUUCUUCAGUACUGCAUAUUUCAUAUAUAAAUCUGGUUAGAAGGGACAGUUAAUUAAAGAUGAAUUAUACAUUAGAGUAGUUAUAGUAGUUGGGGAUUUCUUACUGCACAUUUUUGGUUCGGAAGGGACGGGUCAUAAAUCAUAAAUAAUUGUAAAAGAUUAUAAUGAUUUUCAUACUCUUUUUAUUAUAUGUUAUAACAUAUUUUUUAGUAUUUAGCACGUGCACGUUCUUGUAAUGAGCUUUGUUGUAAGCUCUUUUGUGUUCAACGAGAAUAAAUAAACUUUUAAAAUA